GACGAACGCUUUCGGCGUGCUUAACACAUGCAAGUCGAACGGAAAGGCCCUGCUUUUGUGGGGUGCUCGAGUGGCGAACGGGUGAGUAACACGUGAGUAACCUGCCCUUGACUUUGGGAUAACUUCAGGAAACUGGGGCUAAUACCGGAUAGGAGCUCCUGCUGCAUGGUGGGGGUUGGAAAGUUUCGGCGGUUGGGGAUGGACUCGCGGCUUAUCAGCUUGUUGGUGGGGUAGUGGCUUACCAAGGCUUUGACGGGUAGCCGGCCUGAGAGGGUGACCGGCCACAUUGGGACUGAGAUACGGCCCAGACUCCUACGGGAGGCAGCAGUGGGGAAUAUUGCACAAUGGGCGGAAGCCUGAUGCAGCAACGCCGCGUGCGGGAUGACGGCCUUCGGGUUGUAAACCGCUUUCGCCUGUGACGAAGCGUGAGUGACGGUAAUGGGUAAAGAAGCACCGGCUAACUACGUGCCAGCAGCCGCGGUGAUACGUAGGGUGCGAGCGUUGUCCGGAUUUAUUGGGCGUAAAGGGCUCGUAGGUGGUUGAUCGCGUCGGAAGUGUAAUCUUGGGGCUUAACCCUGAGCGUGCUUUCGAUGCGGGUUGACUUGAGGAAGGUAGGGGAGAAUGGAAUUCCUGGUGGAGCGGUGGAAUGCGCAGAUAUCAGGAGGAACACCAGUGGCGAAGGCGGUUCUCUGGGCCUUUCCUGACGCUGAGGAGCGAAAGCGUGGGGAGCGAACAGGCUUAGAUACCCUGGUAGUCCACGCUGUAAACGGUGGGUACUAGGUGUGGGGUCCAUUCCACGGGUUCCGUGCCGUAGCUAACGCUUUAAGUACCCCGCCUGGGGAGUACGGCCGCAAGGCUAAAACUCAAAGGAAUUGACGGGGCCCCGCACAAGCGGCGGAGCAUGCGGAUUAAUUCGAUGCAACGCGUAGAACCUUACCUGGGUUUGACAUGGAUCGGGAGUGCUCAGAGAUGGGUGUGCCUCUUUUGGGGUCGGUUCACAGGUGGUGCAUGGCUGUCGUCAGCUCGUGUCGUGAGAUGUUGGGUUAAGUCCCGCAACGAGCGCAACCCUUGUUCACUGUUGCCAGCACGUUAUGGUGGGGACUCAGUGGAGACCGCCGGGGUCAACUCGGAGGAAGGUGGGGAUGACGUCAAGUCAUCAUGCCCCUUAUGUCCAGGGCUUCACGCAUGCUACAAUGGCUGGUACAGAGAGUGGCGAGCCUGUGAGGGUGAGCGAAUCUCGGAAAGCCGGUCUCAGUUCGGAUUGGGGUCUGCAACUCGACCUCAUGAAGUCGGAGUCGCUAGUAAUCGCAGAUCAGCAACGCUGCGGUGAAUACGUUCCCGGGGCU
rnacentral:rRNA from 1 species